UCUGACACCCCUGUAUUUAUGCAGUUUAAAAAUGUAUAUAUUAAAAAAAAAUGUACUCGCCUUGUUGGUGCCCUGAACGCACCACACGUAGGCACUCUCCCACCUCAGAUUGCAUUCUCUGCAGUGAUAAUAGCCGUACUUCUGCUCCAGAAACUGAUGGAAAAUGAGUUGGGUCACUAUGUGCGGACCAGAGUUUCACUGAAGUUAAAAUGCUUUAAGCUUUAGUCCAUUAAGUUUCCCAAAUGUGGAAACUUUACUUCAAAUGCCCCUCUAAAUUGUUUAACUGUAGUCCAAAGUUGACAAAAUCAGAUUAAAAAUAAAAAUACUGCUUUUAACAGCAAAAUUAGUAAGUUGAUCUUUUGUUCUUUAACGUUUCCAAAAUAACUCAAUUAUAAAAUUACAGAACCUCAAAAAAAAAAAAAAAGGCAGCUCUAGAGAUACUUACCUGGAACCGUACGCGUGCUUUGCCCUUUGACCCCUCCUCCAUGACUUUGCCCUUUGACCCCUCUUCGGCGGGCCGUGCCUCCUCGCUGUUCCGUUUGAACUCUACCUGCUCGGCCUCGUCCUUCCGGGCGUCCACCCUGACAGCUUCUUCGACCUCCUCUGCCCGCUUAACCAGAGCCUCCCCGGACGGAGAGUCCUUGUCCUCCGCCAGGAAGUACGUGAUGUUCCGGUAGGCUAUGGGGGAGUACAGCGCCAAGGUCCGCGGGUAUCGAACCGCCGCCUUGGGGCUACCACUCUCGUCAGUGGUCGAGGACCCCUCUGAUGCCUUCUUGCGCCGGACGUCUCGCUUCAAGGCGACGAGAGUGCGCGGCCCGAUCGAGCACUGCACCGAGGCGUCCCUCUUGGGGUUCACCUGCACUGCCACGUCCUUGGUAUUGGCCUUGCGGAGCCUAGGCGUGAGCUUGGGGUUGAUCUGCGACAGGAUGGACUUGAGCUGAGCGCGCUGCUGGUUGUUGAAGGCUUCCGAUGAGUCGCCAUAGUGAGACAGGUGUAGGAUCCGGAGGACACGGGUCCAGCAUGAUGGUGUUGGGGUCGCUCACCGUCACGGCACCGUAAGACCCGUCAAAGUCAACGUCCUCAUCCUGAAAUCUCUGGUAUGUUAUGUCCGUGUCCUCGCCAUCCCGCACUGGGUCCGCCUUGUGCAGCACCUUCUUGCGGUACAACCUGUAGACCAGGAUGAAGACGCCCGCUUCAGCUGCCUGGAAGAGCGCGUAGAGCAGUGGGAACAUGUACAUGCCACCCAUCAGCUGAGGCGGGAAGGCCAGCUUGAGGAUGGCGGUGCACAGCUGCACGUUCUGGCAACCCGUCUCCAAGGAGACGGAGCGGCGGCUGUUGGGGGGUAGGUCGAAGAGCACCGCAAGGCCAUAGCCCGCCGCAUACCCACACAUGGGCAUCAGGAGGGCCACCGCAUAGACGGACAGCGGGAUGGUGGAGAGAAGCUCGGGGCCCAGCAUGGCCGCCGUUAGGAUGAAGAGCAGGAGGAGGGUAAUGAGCAGGGACCAGAGGGACGCCUGGGGAGACACAGAUAUAGCCGGGGCCCUCUGUGCGCUAUCAGCCGCUGAUAUCACACACAGGAAAUAAACAGCACUGACGUCAGGCGGUCUGGAGCGGGACAAGGGAGGACAGGACGGCUGCUGCGGUGGGCGGGUGGCUCAGAUCUGUCGUCAAGUCUCCUCCCUCCUACCCUUGAAACACAGUCAUUAAACUAAUGUUAGGCU